rnacentral:rRNA from 1 species
CCUACGGGAGGCAGCAGUGGGGAAUUUUGGACAAUGGGCGCAAGCCUGAUCCAGCCAUGCCGCGUGUGGGAAGAAGGCCUUCGGGUUGUAAACCACUUUUGUCAGGGAAGAAACGGCUCUUACUAAUAUUAGGGGCUAAUGACGGUACCUGAAGAAUAAGCACCGGCUAACUACGUGCCAGCAGCCGCGGUAAUACGUAGGGUGCAAGCGUUAAUCGGAAUUACUGGGCGUAAAGCGUGCGCAGGCGGCUUUGCAAGACAGAUGUGAAAUCCCCGGGCUCAACCUGGGAACUGCAUUUGUGACUGCAUGGCUAGAGUACGGUAGAGGGGGGAUGGGAAUUCCGCGUGUAGCAGUGAAAUGCGUAGAUAUGCGGAGGAACACCGAUGGCGAAGGCAAUCCCCUGGACCUGUACUGACGCUCAUGCACGAAAGCGUGGGGAGCAAACAGGAUUAGAUACCCUGGUAGUCCACGCCCUAAACCGAUGUCAACUGGUUGUUGGACGGCUUGCUGUUCAGUAACGAAGCUAACGCGUGAAGUUGACCGCCUGGGGAGUACGGCCGCAAGGUUGAAACUCAAAUGAAAUUGACGGCUGAGACGNGCGAGGNGACACGAGGGAGGAGG